rnacentral:lncRNA from 1 species
CUUACCGGAAGUAGCCGGAAGGAAGCGGCGCGGGGUGCGCUGGGAGUUGUAGUUCUUCCGGCCCCGAUCACCGGAAGUGGCCGGAUGGAGGCGGCGCGCGGCGGCGGUGGGGGGGCUCCCCCGCGGCCUCCGGCGCCCGGCGAGAAACGGAGACCGGCGCAGUGCGAGGGGCCGCGGCUGCCCAAGGUGGGGCUGUCGGAGGCGGCGGCGGCCGCGCGGCUCCGGGAACUGCCGACGCAGCACGACCACGGCUACAGCGGGAACGGGCUCAGGUUUGGGGCCAAAAACCACAGAUUUGGGAAAAACGGGGAAAACGGGAAAAACGGGGGAAAAACGGGAAAAAUCUGGGGAAAAAAUGGGGGAAAAAUGGGAGAAAAUGGGGGAAAAAUGGGGGAAGAUGGGGAUGGGGGAGGGGCUACAGCGAGAACGGGCUCAGGUUUGGGGCGAAAAAUGGGGAAUUUGGUAAAAACGGGAAAAAUGGGGAAAAAUAGGAAAAAAACAGGAAAAAAAAAGGGAAAAAACGGGGAAAAA